rnacentral:rRNA from 1 species
CAUGCCUAACACAUGCAAGUCGAACGCAGGGUCCCGGUUCGCCGGGGCUCUGAGUGGCGCACGGGUGAGUAGCGCGUGGGAACCUGCCCUGUUGUGGGGGAUAACCGAGGGAAACUUCGGCUAAUACCGCAUGCGCCCCCGCGAAAGCGGGGGGAAAGAUUUAUCGCAGCAGGAGGGGCCCGCGUCGGAUUAGCUGGUUGGCGGGGUAACGGCCCACCAAGGCGAUGAUCCGUAGCUGGUCUGAGAGGAUGAUCAGCCACACUGGGACUGAGACACGGCCCAGACUCCUACGGGAGGCAGCAGUGGGGAAUAUUGGACAAUGGGGGCAACCCUGAUCCAGCAAUGCCGCGUGAGUGAUGAAGGCCUUCGGGUUGUAAAGCUCUUUCGCCCGCGACGAUGAUGACGGUAGCGGGAGAAGAAGCCCCGGCUAACUUCGUGCCAGCAGCCGCGGUAAUACGAAGGGGGCGAGCGUNGUUCGGAAUCACUGGGCG